UGACAAUCUUAUGGGACCACGGUUGU
rnacentral:piRNA from 1 species